rnacentral:lncRNA from 1 species
AUGAGCUUGGAGCCUGGCUACUUGAAGGCCCCCAUUCUCACCCAAAUGACCAAGCCAAAGUCAGAGUCUGUUUUCAGGGGCUACCUGACAAUUCCCCUUGCCCAAAUUGGUGCCUGGAAUUUAAUGACGAAAAAACCUGGCACCUUGAGUGGCUGGGUUAGGGGGAGCCUACACCAGGCUGAAGAGGCUCCAGGAAGCCCACGGAGGUUGGGAGGAGAAUCACGACGGCAGCAGUGCUGGGUCCCUAAGGAAGGCAGGCAAGGAGACCCCAACGAACCUGUCACCCAGUCAUUGUCCCACGGGUGCGGCUUGCCCUGAGGCAACCCCAUUUCUGCUGCCCUCACAGGCCAAGGAAAGCAGCCUCACCUCAAGGACGAGGAGAUUCAGGGCAAUCUGCUCCCUCAAUGCUUGGGGAACUAGAUACUGGCUUGAGCCAGGGCUGGCCUGGCAGGGAAGGGCACUGGUCACUCCCAGGCAAAUGAUGAUGACCCCCUUUCAGGCACUGAGCCGCCACCCUCCUCCCAUACACAGAGAGCUGACCCUGAGGACUGACCAAUAGAAACUCACCAUGGCAACCCUCUGUGACACAAGGCUGGGAAGGAGCCAGGGUUCAGACUCUCCUUGGUGCAGAGGGUUUGACAAGGGAGCAGGGCCGGCAGCAGCCUCCCCCCUCCCCCAGGCAGACCAGUGCCCACACCUCUGGGCUCUCCUCUAUCGCCAGGGGCUUUAAACCUUGGCUGCCGCUCCCAAGCACCCCCUGGGCCACCCGCCUUCCCGGAAGGCAACCUCAGACGCAGAUGGAGAUACCGAAAAGCCCCAAACGCUGUGCCCAGCCCCCAGCGUGGCAGGGAGAAACCUGCACCCUCCCCUGCUGGCUCCCUGCACACAGUUAGGCCUCCCCGAACGAGGGCAGAGUGGCCCAAGGCGGGAAAGACAGACGCCCGCCCGCCCUAGGGCCUCUCCCUCCCUGCCUCCGAGCCCCGGCAGCAGGCUAGGAAAAGUCGAGGGUGCUGAGCCUGGGUCUGCCAAAGAGCUCAGCUGGGAAGCCUGAACGGGGGGGACGGGCGAGGGCUCUGAGGCUGUCCGCGGUCACGGACAGGGAGGGACCCGGGGCCAGCCCAGCCCUUCUCGGAAUCCCGUCUGGCAAUGCCUAAAAGCAGCCACCAAGGGCUACAGAGCCAGAGCCACAACAGAAACUGGGGGCUCCUCUCCCCCUCGGGGACCCCCCCCCCACGGCUCCAGCCCAGGCCCCUCCCCGGGCUGCCUUCAGAACAAGGGAUGGCAUCAGU